rnacentral:rRNA from 1 species
AGAGUUUGAUCCUGGCUCAGAGUGAACGCUGGCGGCGUGCCUAAUACAUGCAAGUCGAACGAUGAAGCUUCUAGCUUGCUAGAAGCGGAUUAGUGGCGCACGGGUGAGUAACGCAUAGGUCAUGUGCCUCUUAGUUUGGGAUAGCCAUUGGAAACGAUGAUUAAUACCAGAUACUCCCUACGGGGGAAAGAUUUAUCGCUAAGAGAUCAGCCUAUGUCCUAUCAGCUUGUUGGUAAGGUAAUGGCUUACCAAGGCUAUGACGGGUAUCCGGCCUGAGAGGGUGAACGGACACACUGGAACUGAGACACGGUCCAGACUCCUACGGGAGGCAGCAGUAGGGAAUAUUGCUCAAUGGGGGAAACCCUGAAGCAGCAACGCCGCGUGGAGGAUGAAGGUUUUAGGAUUGUAAACUCCUUUUGUUAGAGAAGAUAAUGACGGUAUCUAACGAAUAAGCACCGGCUAACUCCGUGCCAGCAGCCGCGGUAAUACGGAGGGUGCAAGCGUUACUCGGAAUCACUGGGCGUAAAGAGCGCGUAGGCGGGAUAGUCAGUCAGGUGUGAAAUCCUAUGGCUUAACCAUAGAACUGCAUUUGAAACUACUAUUCUAGAGUGUGGGAGAGGUAGGUGGAAUUCUUGGUGUAGGGGUAAAAUCCGUAGAGAUCAAGAGGAAUACUCAUUGCGAAGGCGACCUGCUGGAACAUUACUGACGCUGAUUGUGCGAAAGCGUGGGGAGCAAACAGGAUUAGAUACCCUGGUAGUCCACGCCCUAAACGAUGGAUGCUAGUUGUUGGAGGGCUUAGUCCCUCCAGUAAUGCAGCUAACGCAUUAAGCAUCCCGCCUGGGGAGUACGGUCGCAAGAUUAAAACUCAAAGGAAUAGACGGGGACCCGCACAAGCGGUGGAGCAUGUGGUUUAAUUCGAAGAUACACGAAGAACCUUACCUAGGCUUGACAUUGAGAGAAUCCGCUAGAAAUAGUGGAGUGUCUAGCUUGCUAGACCUUGAAAACAGGUGCUGCACGGCUGUCGUCAGCUCGUGUCGUGAGAUGUUGGGUUAAGUCCCGCAACGAGCGCAACCCCCUUUCUUAGUUGCUAACAGGUCAUGCUGAGAACUCUAAGGAUACUGCCUCCGUAAGGAGGAGGAAGGUGGGGACGACGUCAAGUCAUCAUGGCCCUUACGCCUAGGGCUACACACGUGCUACAAUGGGGUGCACAAAGAGAAGCAAUACUGCGAAGUGGAGCCAAUCUUCAAAACGCCUCUCAGUUCGGAUUGUAGGCUGCAACUCGCCUGCAUGAAGCUGGAAUCGCUAGUAAUCGCAAAUCAGCCAUGUUGCGGUGAAUACGUUCCCGGGUCUUGUACUCACCGCCCGUCACACCAUGGGAGUUGUGUUUGCCUUAAGUCAGGAUGCUAAAUUGGCUACUGCCCACGGCACACACAGCGACUGGGGUGAAGUCGUAACAAGGUAACCGUAGGUGAACCUGCGGUUGGAUCACCU